rnacentral:rRNA from 1 species
UACGUAGGGUGCAAGCGUUGUCCGGAAUUAUUGGGCGUAAAGAGCUCGUAGGCGGCUUGUCGCGUCGACUGUGAAAACCCGCGGCUUAACUGUGGGCUUGCAGCCGAUACGGGCGGGCUGGAGUUCGGUAGGGGAGACUGGAAUUCCUGGUGUAGCGGUGAAAUGCGCAGAUAUCAGGAGGAACACCAAUAGCGAAGGCAGCUCGCUGGGACGGUAUUGACGCUAAGGCGCGAAAGCGUGGGGAGCAAACAGG